ensembl:lncRNA
CUUGGUGCUGUCAGUGAUUUUCUUGAUGCACAUUUUAUAAAGAUGCGGCAAUAAUAGGCCCACUUGAGCUGCUUCAUAUGAUUAUGCUAAUAUUGGAUGUUGUUGAUGCUGUUUGGUUCUGGUAAGUGAAGACCGAAGAGCUGGGCUGGAGGCUUCUUAUACUCCCCUGUGGGCAGCAGAGAGCAACUGGUGAAGUGUGUCAGAGUAAAUGAUGGGCUGAGCCUCAGUCUACAGAGGAAAACUUCUCCUCAAUGUGACAAGAGCAGCGGCAACAAUCAGCUGGGGGUGCUUUCUGUGGCCUUGGACAGACUGUCUCAUCGGAUGGGCUUCCUUUCUGUCCACCUGUUCAGAUGCUGAUUGCACAGAAUGGGGGCAGAAGUGCUGAUGACACCACCCUGUGAUGAGCUGACUUAUGGCCUCGGUUCAGCAGCCGGCGUUCUACCUUCCUUUCUCCCUAGGAUUUGCGGAAAGCCUCAGCUAAAAGGGAAGACUAGAAAAUACGUGAGAUCUCUUUAGCUGGAAGAUGUGGUGGUUCCUUGGUUGGACUUGAGAAAACCUCCCUGAAUUUGGGAAGAGGAUAAAGGGUAGAAAGGGAAAAGCUGUAAUGGAUGCGAAAGCAGAGAAACUCUGAAAUAAUAUCUAACUGGAGCUAAUUACAAAGAAACCUGAAACUUGGGAGAAGUAGGACUGUUUCUUUGCCUCAAAAAUGGUGGGGGAGGGUGUGUUCAACCUUUGGGCUGUAUUAUGAUAAACAUUAUUAAAAAUACAGAAAUAAAGCUUCAUUACUUGUAUACAUGAACUAUAUUAUGUAUUUUAUUUGAAACCCAAG